rnacentral:rRNA from 1 species
CAAUCAAGUGCCUUAAGGGUGUUCGGUGGAUGCCUUGGCGCUGAGAGGCGACGAAGGACGUGCUACGCUGCGAUAAGCCGUGGGGAGCUGCGAAGAAGCUUUGAUCCGCGGAUUUCCGAAUGGGGAAACCCACCUUCGAUAGCCAGAACUCCAAGACCUUGUGUCUUGGUGUUCGACCAGAAAUGCGAGAAGCCAGAUCGUGCGGGGAAACCUGCGAGGUUUUGGAUUUCUGGUUAUCAAGUGAAGGUAUGAGACUUCCGAAUAAAAUAGGAGGUUUCAAGCAAACCCAGGGAACUGAAACAUCUAAGUACCUGGAGGAAAGGACAUCAACAGAGACUCCGUUAGUAGUGGCGAGCGAACGCGGACCAGGCCAGUCAUCAAUGUGCGACAAUUGGAAUCUGUCAGGAAAGCAGAGCCUCAGAGGGUGAUAGCCCCGUACAAGUAAUGCAAACAUUGAUGCUCGAGUAAGGCGGGACACGUGCAAUCCUGUCUGAACGCGGGGGGACCACCCUCCAAGCCUAAGUACUCCUCAGCGACCGAUAGUGAACCAGUACCGUGAGGGAAAGGUGAAAAGCACCCCGACGAGGGGAGUGAAAUAGACCUGAAACCGGACACCUACAAACAGACGGAGCCCAAGAUACGUUCUGGGUGACGUCGUACCUUUUGUAUUAUGGGCCAGCGACUUAAUUUAACGAGCAAGCUUAAGCCGAUAGGCGAAGGCGUAGCGAAAGCGAGUCUGAAUAGGGCGUCAAGUUCGUUGUAUUAGACCCGAAACCUAGUGAUCUAGCCAUGAGCAGGUUGAAGGUGAGGUAACACUCACUGGAGGACCGAACGGGUGCCUGUUGAAAAAGGCUCCGAUGACUUGUGGUUAGGGGUGAAAGGCCAAUCAAACUGGGAAAUAGCUGGUUCUCCGCGAAAGCUAUUUAGGUAGCGCCUCGGACGAAUACCUCAGGGGGUAGAGCACUGGAUGGGCUAGGGGGACUUACCGUCUUACCAAACCUAACCAAACUCCGAAUACCUGAGAGUACUAUCCGGGAGACACACGGCGGGUGCUAACGUCCGUCGUGGAGAGGGAAAAAACCCUGACCUACAGCUAAGGCCCCUAAUUCGUGGCUAAGUGGGAAAGGAUGUGGGAAUCCCAAAACAACCAGGAGGUUGGCUUAGAAGCAGCCAUCCUUUAAAGAAAGCGUAACAGCUCACUGGUCUAAAUAAGGGUUCCUGCGCCGAAAAUGUAACGGGGCUCAAGCCACGAGCCGAAGCUUAGGGUGUACACGCAAGUGUACGCGGUAGCGGAGCGUUCCAUAGACCUGCGAAGGGAGACCCGUGAGGGCUCCUGGAGGUAUUGGAAGUGCGAAUGCUGGCACGAGUAACGACAAACAGUGUGAAAGACACUGUCGCCGAAAGUCCAAGGGUUCCUGCGUAAAGCUAAUCUGCGCAGGGUUAGCCGG